rnacentral:rRNA from 1 species
AAUUGCUAGUAAUCGUGGAUCAGCAUGCCACGGUGAAUACGUUCCCGGGUCUUGUACACACCGCCCGUCACACCAUGGGAGCUGGUAACACCCGAAGUCAGUAGUCUAACCGCAAGGAGGACGCUGCCGAAGGUGGGAUUAGCGACUGGGGUGAAGUCGUAACAAGGUACC